rnacentral:lncRNA from 1 species
UAAAAUAAAUAACGAGCAAAUAAAAAUACCAACUGUAAGAACCAAAAGUUUAAGCAGAACUGACGACCAAGCGUCGAAAUUACGUCAAUGUUGGAUUGUUGGAUUGUUGGAAUGUUGGAAAGUUGGAUUGUUGGAUCGCGCGCUUGCCGUCCAACUAAAUAUUUGAAUUCUUAAAUAAAUUACAAAAAUCACAAUAAUAUACAAUUUUAGUAACCUUUAUAUAAUAAACAAAGUUUGCAUGGUACUAGAUAAAUUUCUAUAGUAACUAAAAAUACAACAAUAUAUACAGCGCCACCGGAAGUCGCAAUACGUAAACAACAUUGCAAAAAGUUAUGUGUGUCACCGGCGGACCAAAAUGAUAAAUAUCAAGGAUAGUGAGCAUUAACAUCUACAAAACAUUGAAGACGUUGAAUAUAACUACUAAAAGGAAUUACAAGAAGUAUGUGAAAACAGUUGUCAACACGUAAAAAUAGUGUUUUUAUUGAACAAUCGUCCCAAGUGACACAUGGGUUCUACUGCGCAUGUCAAUACAUUUCAUUCAUAAAUUCAAGCAAGGUGCGUGGAAUUUACUACAGUUGCUUAAAUUGGAUUAUCACAAAAAUACAAGACAUUUGGCUUCCAAAAUCAACAUAUAAUGACAGAUAGAUGUAAUCAUAGAAUGCAUAGAUUUUACAAUACAGAGAAGUUAUGAUUAUCGAUUUUUAAUCAACUGAAAGUUAAAAUUGGAUUCAACCAAGCAUGAUGACCGCAUGCCCUUAUUUGCAGACGACACCUAUUUGUGGAUUAUACAGUGGAUUAUUACUGUGAACUGGUAAAUUAUAACAUGAACUUCAAAUGGUUUAAUCAAAUAUACAAAUGACAUUCAAUUCAAUAUUUCUA